rnacentral:rRNA from 1 species
AGUGAACGCUGGCGGUAGGCCUAACACAUGCAAGUCGAACGGCAGCACAGUAAGAGCUUGCUCUUACGGGUGGCGAGUGGCGGACGGGUGAGGAAUACAUCGGAAUCUACUUUUUCGUGGGGGAUAACGUAGGGGAACUUACGCUAAUACCGCAUACGACCUACGGGUGAAAGCAGGGGAUCUUCGGACCUUGCGCGAUUGAAUGAGCCGAUGUCGGAUUAGCUAGUUGGCGGGGUAAAGGCCCACCAAGGCGACGAUCCGUAGCUGGUCUGAGAGGAUGAUCAGCCACACUGGAACGGAGACACGGUCCAGACUCCUACGGGAGGCAGCAGUGGGGAAUAUUGGAAAAUGGGCGGAAGCCUGAUCCAGCCAUACCGCGUGGGUGAAGAAGGCCUUCGGGUUGUAAAGCCCUUUUGUUGGGAAAGAAAAGCAGCAGGUUAAUACCCCGCUGUUCUGACGGUACCCAAAGAAUAAGCACCGGCUAACUUCGUG